UUUAAUUGAAGAGUUUGAUCAUGGCUCAGAUUGAACGCUGGCGGCAGGCCUAACACAUGCAAGUCGAGCGGUAACAUUUCAAAAGCUUGCUUUUGAAGAUGACG
rnacentral:rRNA from 1 species